GAGACAGAGUUUCACUCUUGUCACCUAGGCUGGAAUGCAAUGGCACAGUCUUGGCUCACUGCAAGCUCCACCUCCUAUGUUCAAGAUAUUCUCCUGCCUCAGCCUCCCAAGUAGCUGGAAUUACAGGCAUGUGCCACCAUGCCUGGCUAAUUUUGUAUUUUUAGUAGACAUGGGGUUUCACCAUGUUGGCCAGACUGGUCUCGAACUUCUGACCUCAGGUGAUCCACCUGCCUCAGCCUUCCAAAGCGCUGGGAUUGCAGGCAUGAACCACCACGCCCGACCUCUCCUUUUCUUUUGAAAUAGAUAUGUGAGGAUGUAAUGCCUGAAGUAGUGGCAGCUACCUUGUUGACUAUAAGGAAAGAAGCCUGAAGACAAUGGUCAACAUGCCAAAGACAGCAAAAUAGAAUGAUGGAAAUCACAUGGCUCCUUCUAGCUCAGACUUCUUGCUAUGAGAGCACAGAGCCCUCCUCUCACCAUCCUGAUUAUACUUUGUGGCUUUGUACCUUGGGAUGUCUUGAGGAAGCUUUUGGUGACUGGAGCUAUACGGAUAUGAAGGGAUGGUCUCCAGCCAGAGGACUUCAGUCAUCUGCAUCCAUUAAGAUGAAUGUCCUGAUUGCGCUUCAUAACGAAUAUUCUCAGAAUGCCAGAGGCUACAUGGAACUGUGCCAAGUGCUCCAUUACACCUGUGCAGCUGGCUAAACUGAAGAACUGCUUGGGGCAAUCCUCAUGCUCUCACUAUGCUCUCAGCAAGAACACCUGGGAUUCUUCAGCCUUGCCAUGUGUGGAGAACAGCCCAAAAAUAGGCCUGCUCAGACUUCCAAGAUGGAUUGCUAGACUUUGUGAGUCACCUCUGAAACCUAAAGCUCUGUGCUUUGUGAUUUUUGUUUGCAUCAUUAGGAUGAAGAAUUUCAGCAAACCUAGCCAGAAUUACUUGUGACUAAUCUUAGCAGAUAAAAAAGCAAGCAUUUUCUCUUUCAAACCCACAUACAUAUACAAAAGGUAAAUAAAACCUUGAAUUGGAUAACCCUUUCCCAGCUAU